rnacentral:rRNA from 1 species
UAGGGAAUCUUCGGCAAUGGACGAAAGUCUGACCGAGCAACGCCGCGUGAGUGAAGAAGGUUUUCGGAUCGUAAAACUCUGUUGUUAGAGAAGAACAAGGACGUUAGUAACUGAACGUCCCCUGACGGUAUCUAACCAGAAAGCCACGGCUAACUACGUGCCAGCAGCCGCGGUAAUACGUAGGUGGCAAGCGUUGUCCGGAUUUAUUGGGCGUAAAGCGAGCGCAGGCGGUUUCUUAAGUCUGAUGUGAAAGCCCCCGGCUCAACCGGGGAGGGUCAUUGGAAACUGGGAGACUUGGGUGCAGAAGAGGAGAGUGGAAUUCCAUGUGUAGCGGUGAAAUGCGUAGAUAUAUUGAGGAACACCAGUGGCGAAGGCGGGUCUCUGGUCUGUAACUGACGCUGAGGCUCGAAAGCGUGGGGAGCAAACAGG